rnacentral:lncRNA from 1 species
CAUACAAGAAUAAAACUAUGACAAUGACUGGAGCACUUAUCCUCGCAACAUGUAAAAUGAGUAAACAAAAAAAUAAAUACAAAAAUAAUAAACCGCCACCGAUGGAGCAACUCCUUCACUUGGUCUCACUCUCUAAUUCGACAAAAUUUAGAAUUUUUCUCCUACUUACCUUACUCUAGAAUCUUCCUUCAAACUCACUGUCAUAUGACACUUUUCUGUUAUUUUUCCAACCAAAUCUAGAAACACAUUUUGCAUCCUGCUCACAUUCUUGAUAUAUUGCCAGUACAACAGAAAAGGAUCAAUGUGAUUCUGCAGACUGAAAAUGAGACCAGUAUUCCUUGACGAGUUUCCUGAACAACGAUUCUUCUCUCUUCAUCAAGCUCAUUGGCUCGUCAUACUCUGCCAGUUUUCCUGAAAACACAGUCAGUGGUAUCAUAUUCUUCACUUAAAUUUAUCACAGUCAUGUGCCUUAUAUAUUACAUGCUAUCUAUGUGUUAUACAAGGUCGAAAUCUUAAAUAAAA